AGAGUUUGAUCCUGGCUCAGGAUGAACGCUAGCGGCAGGCCUAAUACAUGCAAGUCGAACGAGAUUAGUAGCAAUACUAUGAAAGUGGCGCACGGGUGCGUAACACGUAUGCAAUCUACCUUUAAUUGGAGGAUAGCCUCGAGAAAUCGGGAUUAAUACUCCAUAACAUUACGAAGUGGCAUCACUAUGUAAUUAAACCUCCGGGGAUUAAAGAUGAGCAUGCGCAACAUUAGCUAGUUGGUAAGGUAAUGGCUUACCAAGGCUACGAUGUUUAGGGGGUCUGAGAGGAUGAUCCCCCACACUGGUACUGAGACACGGACCAGACUCCUACGGGAGGCAGCAGUAGGGAAUAUUGGGCAAUGGAGGCAACUCUGACCCAGCCAUGCCGCGUGCAGGAUGACGGCCCUCUGGGUUGUAAACUGCUUUUAUACGGGAAGAAAAAGUACUACGUGUAGUAUAUUGACGGUACCGUAAGAAUAAGGAUCGGCUAACUCCGUGCCAGCAGCCGCGGUAAUACGGAGGAUCCAAGCGUUGUCCGGAUUUAUUGGGUUUAAAGGGUGCGUAGGCGGAUCUUUAAGUCAGUGGUGAAAGCCUGCAGCUCAACUGUAGAACAGCCAUUGAAACUGAAGAUCUUGAAUGUGGUUAAAGUAGGCGGAAUGUAUCAUGUAGCGGUGAAAUGCUUAGAUAUGAUACAGAACACCGAUAGCGAAGGCAGCUUGCUGAACCAUUAUUGACGCUGAGGCACGAAAGCGUGGGG
rnacentral:rRNA from 1 species